AGUUGAUCCUACUAGUAGUCAUAUGCUUGUCUCAAAGAUUAAGCCAUGCAUGUGUAAGUAUGAACUAAUUCAGACUAUGAAACUGCGAAUGACUCAUUAAAUCAGUUAUAGUUUGUUUGAUGGUAUUUGCUACUCGAAUAAUCGUAGUAAUUCUAGAGCUAAUAUGUGCAACAAACCCCGACUUCUGGAAGGGACGCAUUUAUUAAAUAAAAGGUCGACACGGGCUCUGCCUGUUGCUUUGAUGAUUCAUGAUAACUUGACGGAUCGCACGACCAUUAUGCUAGUGAUGCAUCAUUCAAAUUUAUGCCCUAUCAACUUUCAAUGGUAGGAUAGAGGCCUACCAUGGUGGUGACGAGUGAUGAAGAAUUAGGGUUCGAUUCCGGAGAGGGAGCCUGAGAAACGACUACCACAUCCAAGGAAGGCAACAAGCGCUCAAAUUACCCAAUCUUGACACGGGAAGGUAAUGACAAUAAAUAACAAUACCGGGCUCUUCGAGUCUGGUAAUUGGAAUUAGAACAAUCUAAAUCCCUUAGCGAUGAUCCAUUGGAGGGCAAGUCUGGUGCCAGCAGUCGCGGUAAUUCCAGCUCCAAUAAUGUAUAUUUAAGUUGUUGCAAUUAAAAAGCUCGUAGUUGGACUUUGGGUUGGGUUCGUCGGUCCGCCUCAAGUGUGCACCGGUCGCCUUGUCCCUUCUACCGGCGAUGUGCUCCUGGCCUUAACUGGCCGGGUCGUGCCUCCGGUGUUGUUACUUUGAAGAAAUUAAAGUGCUCAAAGCAAGCUUACGCUCUAGAUACAUUAGCAUGGGAUAACAUCAUAGGAUUUCGAUCCUAUUGUGUUGGCCUUCGGGAUCGGAGUAAUAAUUAACAAGGAUAGUCGGGGGCAUUCGUAUAUCAUAGUCAUAUGUAAAAUUCUUGGAUUUAUGAAAGACGAACAACUACGAAAGCAUUUGCCAAAGAUGUUUUCAUUAAUCAAGAAGAAAAGUUGGGGGCUCAAAGACGAUCAGAUACCGUCCUAGUCUCAACCAUAAAUGAUGUUGACCAGGGAUUGGCAGAUGUUGCUUCUAGGACUCCACUAACACCUUAUGAGAAUUCAAAGUUUUUGGGUUCUGGGGGGAGUAUGGUCGUAAGGCUGAAACUUAAAGGAAUUGAUGAAAGGGCACCACCAGGAGUGGCGCCUGUGGCUUAAUUUGACUCAACACGGGGAAACAUACAAGGUCCAGACAUAGUAAGGAUUGAUAGAUUGAGAGCUCUUUCUUUUGUUUAUCAGAAUGUAAGUAUGUAUUAAGAUCAAAAGUGAUCAUGCUGUUAAAACAACAAGUACAAAAUCAUAUACAAGGAAGAGGGCAGUAUGAACCUCGAAACAAAAAAAAAAUAACAGCAAAGGGAAUAAGCUCCCUAGAAUAAUUAAUAUGAGCCACGCAGGGCUGACAACAUAAUAAAAACUAGAACAUAAAUGUGCUGAUAAAGUUCACUCAUAAACAGCUAUCCAGAGGGAGGAACAGUAACAUGCAAAGAAGCAUGCAAAGCCAUACAAGGAGCCAUA
rnacentral:rRNA from 1 species